rnacentral:tRNA from 1 species
GCCCUGGUGGCAAAAUGGCUAAGCAUUUGGCUGCUAACCAAAAGGUCAGUGGUUCCACCCCACCAGAACG